rnacentral:rRNA from 1 species
GAUGAACGCUAGCGGGAGGCUUAACGCAUGCAAGUCGAGGGGCAGCAUUCACUUCGGUGAGAUGGCGACCGGCGCACGGGUGCGUAACGCGUAUGCAACCUACCUUAUACAGGGGGAUAGCCCAUGGAAACGUGGAUUAAUACCCCAUAGUACUAUAAAGCUGCAUAGUUUAAUAGUUAAAACUUCGGUGGUAUAAGAUGGGCAUGCGUAUGAUUAGCUAGUUGGUGAGGUAACUGCUCACCAAGGCGACGAUCAUUAGGGGUUCUGAGAGGAUUAUCCCCCACACUGGUACUGAGACACGGACCAG